UUCUUUUUGGACUGAACUUGUUUGUGCAAAACACUGAGGCUUCAUUGUCUAGCAUUCAUCUAAUUUGUUUAUAGACGUGUUUUAAGACAGCAGUGUACACAUAUGUUAGCAGACCGUCUGUCUUAUACUGUCUCUGAUGAACCACACACGAUCGGAAAAUGUCUUUCGGAUCAGCCAAACAAAAUCUGAUGUCAAAUGGACUCAAGUCUGCAUCAAAAUCUCCUUGUCACUUUGGAUAAAAGCAUCUGCUAAACGACAACUUCCUGUACUCUACGAAAGAUGAAAGGUGCUCACAGUCUUUCAGUGGCCUUGGUUUAAAAAAAAUGAGAGGGGGAUGAUGGGAUUUAAUGGUCCACACCAGAGAACAAAGCUCGGCUUCAUACAAAGGUGGAAGUCUCUGGCUGUGUGCCAGUCCACAGUCAAUGCCCAAAAACACGUACAUGAACGCUGCCUGUUUUGGAUGGCUUUUAGAAAUGAAAAAAAUAAUAAUAACAAAAUAAAAUACCACAGUAUGCUUAAUUGGGGAUGUUGAAAACUCACUUCUUGUACUGGGCAGUUUUUGAUCUUUAGAUUCUGCCUGCCAUUCCUCGCAACUCUGAAUGAAAGUUUUUAAUCCCAUGGAGAUUUUCCUGCAUGUUAGUAGGUCCUUUCAUAAAGCGUGCAGGCCUUCCCCUCCCUCGCCAAGCCCAUAGAAACAGGACUCUCUCUGUGCCUUAGAGGGCCUGCUGGAGUUUUGAGGGCCGUUUCUCCACUGUAAGCCUUUGAGGAGGCUGGCCUUUGAAGUCCUGGAGUCCACCAAUAGCUGCACUUUGAGUGCCUGACAUUAAUUGUUCCCAGAGAAACACAGAAGGACCUACAGCAUGAAGAUGAGUGGACCAAAGCACCCACCGACUGUACACCUGUGACCCUCCAUCACCCCGAACAUUGUAAGGGUACUUUUGACAGGUUACUUGUGCCUGUUUUCUUAAAGGUUCUGGAGAUUUUGAGUCUGAGCAGGCUUAGGCUGCCAAAGAAGACCAUGUACAAUCACAAUUUGAACUUACUUUUUAACUUAAAUUUAACUUAAUCUUUUUUUCUUUUUUUUCACUUUUGUGAAUCAGAGUGCAUGUAAUUCAGAGUAUUUAUUUUUGAGACUUGGAGAAACAGUGAAUAAUUUUUUGAAGCGAUUAAAAAAAAUUAUCUCAUCACUAUUUUUUUUAUUAUUUUUUUUAAAUCCUAUCGAUUUAACACACUUAAUGACAAUAAUGGUUUGACUUAAUUUUUAC
ensembl:lncRNA